UGGGGAAUAUUGCACAAUGGGCGCAAGCCUGAUGCAGCCAUGCCGCGUGUAUGAAGAAGGCCUUCGGGUUGUAAAGUACUUUCAGCGAGGAGGAAGGCGUUGUGGUUAAUAACCGCAACGAUUGACGUUACUCGCAGAAGAAGCACCGGCUAACUCCGUGCCAGCAGCCGCGGUAAUACGGAGGGUGCAAGCGUUAAUCGGAAUUACUGGGCGUAAAGCGCAAGCAGGCGGUAUGUCAAGUCGGAUGUGAAAUCCCCGGGCUCAACCUGGGAACUGCAUCCGAAACUGGCAGGCUAGAGUCUUGUAGAGGGGGGUAGAAUUCCAGGUGUAGCGGUGAAAUGCGUAGAGAUCUGGAGGAAUACCGGUGGCGAAGGCGGCCCCCUGGACAAAGACUGACGCUCAGGUGCGAAAGCGUGGGGAGCAAACA
rnacentral:rRNA from 1 species